CAGAUGAAUGUGUACGGUGGAAAAUUUGUAGAGAACAUAUAUUUAUUGUAAAUUUUGGCUUUUCUUCAGGGAAUUAAAGUAUGAACAUUUCUUUUUAUAGGUCUUUCAAUUUCAUGUCUAUAAGGAUUGAGUAAUGGUGGUGAGUCAAUAUGUUUUUUAUGAGAGUUUACUAUAACAAGAUGAUGUGUUUCAGGUAAGAAUUUGCAGCAGUCUGGUAAUUCCCGAGAUUCUUUAGCAGCAAAUGAAAUAGCACUACUACAAAAACAGAAACCCCUUUCCUGUGCUGGCCUUAUGCAAGAAAUUUAUGGGGCUUCUUGUUACUUCAUUGAGGCAGAGAGUAUGAACAAGAAAAAAUGUCUGUAAGUUAUUUCUUGCUAAUUUUGGUGUUUUGGCUAGUUUACUUGCUGAUUGUAGCUCAUAGUAAUUGCUUUUGUUCCCUUACACAGCAUCUCUUUUAUGCAUGAUGCAAUUUGUUUCUAUGAAAGAGAUUCUGUAAUCUAUAUUCUUUGAAUAAUUUAUACAGAAGAUUCAUUAUGGUUCAA